GCCCUCAUUAGAUAACAGAGAAAGGUAACACUCUAGAGUUAAAGGCCAAGUACCUCCAAUAGAGAAUAUGUGAAGUCAAAAAGGACAUUUUUAUGGCUCCAUAUGUGCACUCGGUAAUGAGCACAUAUUAAAAUGUAGUCUUACAAAAGCAUAGACAUGAGCUCAAGGAUCUCAUGUGGAUUGAACCAAAGAGUCAUAGAUAACCAGUAAGGAUGAACUUGUGCGGUCUAUAUGUUAUGAGAGACAUGCUCAACAUCAUCACAUUAGCCGUGACCGAAUUUACACAAG